GAUGAUCCUCUCAAAACUACUGAUCAGACCAGACGUCUUGGCUUAAUUGUUUGUAGAGGAACUGCUGUCAUGCUUGUGUCCCCAACUGAUGGUACAGAUGAGAUUGCCAACCCCUUUAUACAGCAAGAUGGGGCCUAAGUUUCAAGUAUUUUUACCUGUUAUCUAAGUGCUAAUCAAUCCCUUCAUGGCUUUGCUAUGAAACCAUUAAUGCAGAGAUUCUGAAUAGCAUUUUGUGUACUUCGUAAUCUUGGAUAUAUUCUUAGGCCUUUAAUCGAUAUAAUGUCACAUGUGCACUUAGUUUGUUCUUGAUUAAGUUAAUUCCUCUGAUUGGUAAUGCAUUUUUGCACAGAAUGUGUUUUAUUAACUUCUUGCGACUUCCCCUUCAUGGAAUAUUAUAUGUUGAUCUGGCCAAGUACAUCAUGUGCAUUAUGUUGACCUUGAGAUUUGGUUACCA